AGAGUUUGAUCCUGGCUCAGAUUGAACGCUGGCGGCAUGCCUUACACAUGCAAGUCGAACGGUAACGCGGGGGCAACCCUGGCGACGAGUGGCGAACGGGUGAGUAAUACAUCGGAACAUAUCCAGUAGCGGGGGAUAACCUAUCGAAAGAUGGACUAAUACCGCAUACGAUCUACGGAUGAAAGCAGGGGACCGCAAGGCCUUGCACUAUUGGAGUGGCCGAUGUCGGAUUAGCUAGUUGGUGGGGUAAAAGCUUACCAAGGCGACGAUCCGUAGCUGGUCUGAGAGGACGAUCAGCCACACUGGAACUGAGACACGGUCCAGACUCCUACGGGAGGCAGCAGUGGGGAAUUUUGGACAAUGGGCGCAAGC
rnacentral:rRNA from 1 species